UCUUUAUUCAUCAUCAGGAACUCUGAUAGUAGCUACUUAAAACUUUUUCGCAAGACGUGGUAAGCUCAGGAGGGACAGCAAGCUUGAACGUGCCAGCAGGACAGUAAACAGGAAAUAACAGGAUUCGCAGCACAGAAAAAUAAGCAAAAUAAAAUUAAAAGUUUGGUGUCAUUCUAAGAGCAACAAGAAGCACUAGACAGUGCCUGCUGUAAACUCAGCAUUCAUCCUGGCACCAGGAAGAAACUGCAAAAUCAUUUCUCUGAAAUUUUAAUGAACUCCGACGAGAAUGCUGCUGGUUAAUGGACUUUAUGCAAUGGGCGGAAACUCAUCCAUUCACAAUCCAACUUUUCAUGGGCCAGGAUGAGAAGUACAUGGAGCACCAGAGGGAUCUUGGUGGAAUUUGAUUGAAAUUCUUUUACUGUCUGGACUGUGUGAGCAUGUCUGUACCACUUAGUCAAUGCUACAUCACAUCAAGAUACUGGAAUAAGCUCUGCAUGAGGCAGGAUUUGCAUGGGAAGCAGCACAGCCCUGAAACGUAGCAUUGCACCCAAGUUAAGAUACCCCAUGUUUCAGUAGAGUCCUUUGCCUCUGGGGGACAUCAAACAAGCAGAGACACAGUGUUUGUAGGUCCCUUCUUCUGACAUCUUUUUGUGUUAGCACAGUGUGAAGUAAAGGUGUAACUCCAGCUUUUUCUGUUGCCACUGUUUCACUUCCCAGAAAUACUUUAGUGCUCACGAAGAUACAGAGCAUGUGGGAACUACUGUUUAGAUUUUGAGCCAGUGAGCCCAUGCAUACCGGUAACAAUCACAAACACAACAGCCUUUUCUGUAUAAAAUAAAAGUGUGCUUAUCCAAAUCAGUUUACAGGACUGGAAACUUAAAAAAAAAAAUUCACAAUUUCCGUUUCGUGGAACCAUUUGGAACAACUUUUAAUUCACAUGACAAGGAUUUUAGGACUUUAACAUUUUCAUCAUUAAAGAACAUUUUAUUUCAGAUUAAAAUAAAAUAUUCUUUCUAAAUGCAUGACAAUAAAACCUGAUGUCUUAGCUCCCCAUACUUGUUCCUCUGAGAAAAUAAAGUGUCAAAUACCCUAAAUUCCACACUCUGGAGCAAUUUAGAUCUCCUUAGAGAUCACAGUUUGAACUACAAAUGCAAUAAGGGCUGCAUCCUGCUGUAGCUGAAAUCCUUCCUAAGUCUACUUCUGCUUUUCAAUCUCUCUAAUUUUUCAUUAGAUCAAGAGUCACACAUUUUUGUUGGCAGUAAAGCAAUUCCAAUUUGAACUGCCUUCUGUCUUCAAUAGGAAUUUUCCCAAAGUACAGAAAUAAAAAUGUAAAACUUUGCUGUGUUUCAUUACUUUCAUUCUUUUGAACAUUGCGGCUCUGAAAGCUCUGUGUGAAAUUAUUAGAAGAUGGGUUUUGAAAUGCUUGUGAAAGUAGAUGCAUAUAUGGGACUCAAAGGGCCUUAUUUAAAAAAGAAAUUUGCCAGUUACCCAGAUCUCUGGUUGGUUAUGCCCAUUCAAGGAUACAGAAUCCAUCAUUCCUAUGAUUAUUUUUACAUCUGAACUUUUUUUUUAUACUAGAUAGACUUGAAACUUUCAGGGUCAUUUGCCCAGCAUGUAGUUGAAUGUCCUGUGCUAUAGAUUCCAAUUAGCAAGACCAUGUUCAAUGGUCCUACACCUCCAAUGCUGUCUAACUGCUUUCCACUUGGCUUUAUAUGUUUCUUCUUUGUUGCAGCUGCAACCAGGUCUAUCUACCCUUUGAUAGAAAAAUUUCAAUUACCCCAGGGAGAAGCUUUUAGCUUUAUUAAGCAUUGAAGUCUACACAUUUGUUCUUCUGUUGAAGAACAGUUCAAAAGGAGACUUUCUGAGGAAGUAAUCUGAUAAAUUAGGAUAAAUCUUGUGGAUUUUCACUGCUAAUGUUUUUCCUGUAGUCUGAGCCUAAGAAUCUGCCAACUCAAUGUACAGUUAAGCAUUUCUUUAACACUUUUAGCCACUGACAGAUGUUUCUUAUACUUUACAAGUAAAUGGCUCUUCAGUGUUUUUUGAGACUGCUGUGCUCUCAGCAUAAAAUUGAUGUCACAGAAGGCUGGAGAGCUGUGCUCCAGCCUUGAUAGACAGUGACAGAAAACUGUUCCCAUCUGGUGGCUCUGUACUGGCCUCUGAGUAAACUAAUGGUUUCCUUUCUGAGAUGAUGGGUGUCAACUCAUCACCUCCUUGCUGCCCAGAGUAACCUUAGUUAUCUCAGGAAAAGCAAGGCCUGCAUACACCAGGUCUCUAACCUGCCCUCGCUUUGUUGUCAUUGGCCUCUCGGGGGAGUGGGGUGGCCAAGUGAGGUGGAGGAAAGCUGGCAAUAACACUGUUGUAAGUCACAUCUCUUUGUAGAUAAAAAAAAAGGAGCUACUCUUCCUAAUGCUGUCAAUCUUGUAUUUUAUUUCAUUGGUGGGUUCAUUUAUGCCAGUAAAUAAGGCUGUCAUUUCUGCUUUUUAGUGUUUGAGAAUUCCACAAAAGUUUCACGUCGCUGGUUUGAAAUCGAAUCUUUCAUUAUUGUCUCUAUCUUGCAAAUUAAUUUAUUACUGUAUUUGAAGUCCUAAAUGCCUCUUGAGAGAACUGAACAUACAGUCUAACAAUCUACCCAUAAAGAGCAAACAUGAGUUACACAUUUAAAGAAGAU